UGUGGGCUUUAGCGCGGUGGUCCCACCUGACCCCAUGCCGAACUCAGAAGUGAAACGCCGUAGCGCCGAUGGUAGUGUGGGGUCUCCCCAUGUGAGAGUAGGGAACUGCCAGGC
rnacentral:rRNA from 1 species